rnacentral:rRNA from 1 species
UACGUAGGGGGCAAGCGUUGUCCGGAAUCAUUGGGCGUAAAGCGCGUGUAGGCGGCCCGAUAAGUCCGCUGUGAAAGUCCAGGGCUCAACCCUGGGAUGCCGGUGGAUACUGUCGGGCUCGAGUCCGGAAGAGGCGAGUGGAAUUCCUGGUGUAGCGGUGAAGUGCGCAGAUAUCAGGAGGAACACCAAUGGCGAAGGCAGCUCGCUGGGACGUGACUGACGCUGAGACGCGAAAGCGUGGGGAGCAAACAGG